ensembl:lncRNA
GAUGUUUGCAGACCCGGCACAGCCUCAUGUACGCUCUGCCACCGUGGUUUUUAAAAGCAAGGUGACUGACAGAUUCUGCAGAUUCAUUGAGUAGUAAACCAAACGAACAUAUGACGAGAUUAUUUCUUUCUCUUCUGCUGCAGCGAGGUAUAAUAACAUCAGGGACCGGAUUACAUGAAGAAGUCCGUUGUGACAACUACGCAAAUCCUUUGGCUGAAAUAGCACAACAUGAUGCAGAAGACAGUGCAGUGAAAGUGGCUCCUCCUGAGACAGUGGAAGUUCACGGGAUCAAUGUUUCUUGGAUUUUUGUUCCUUCAAAAAAAUAUUUAAAGCCUGAGUUUGGGGUCCAGUACAGAUCUGCUGCUCAGAGCUGGAAGGAUGUGGAAAAUUUUACCGUAAAUACUACAGAAACUCAAUUGGAGCUGCCAGAGGACCAUUUGCUGUUAAAUCAGCAGUACGUGAUCAGGGUGAGAGUCAAGUAUCAAGAGAGUAAACUGCCCAAUGCUGUGUGGAGCGACUGGAGUGAAGAGUACAGGUGGACAUCUGCUGUGGGUCAGACGCCCCACACACCAGGUAACACGCACACACACACACACACAUGCACGCACGCACGCACACACACACAGACACACACACACACACACACACGCACA